ACUCAAAGGCAACCGACGGAAUGGGAGAAGAUAUUUGCAAGUGACCGAUCUGAUAAAGGGCUAGUAUCCAAAAUAUAUAAGGAACUUACAAAACUCGAUACCCCAAAAUCAAAUAACCCAAUUACCAAAUUGGCAAAAGACAUGAACAGACCUUUCUCCAAAGAAGACAUCCAGAGGACCACCAGGCACGUGAAAAGAUGCUCAACAUCACUCACCGUCAGAGAAAUUCAAAUCAAAACCACAAUGAGAUACCACCUCACGCCUGUCAGAACGGCUAAAAUCAACAACACGAGAAACAACAGGGGCUGGCGAGGACGUGGAGCAAAAGGAACCCCCUGGCACCGUUGGUGGGGAUGCAAACUGGUGCAGCUGCUCUGCAAAACAGUGUGGAGGUUCCUCAAAAAAUUAAAAAUAGAACUACCCUACGACCA